rnacentral:rRNA from 1 species
UGGGGAAUUUUGGACAAUGGGGGAAACCCUGAUCCAGCCAUCCCGCGUGUGCGAUGAAGGCCUUCGGGUUGUAAAGCACUUUUGGCAGGAAAGAAACGUCGCGGGUUAAUACCCCGCGAAACUGACGGUACCUGCAGAAUAAGCACCGGCUAACUACGUGCCAGCAGCCGCGGUAAUACGUAGGGUGCAAGCGUUAAUCGGAAUUACUGGGCGUAAAGCGUGCGCAGGCGGUUCGGAGAGAAAGAUGUGAAAUCCCAGAGCUUAACUUUGGAACUGCAUUUUUAACUACCGGGCUAGAGUGUGUCAGAGGGAGGUGGAAUUCCGCGUGUAGCAGUGAGAUGCGUAGAUAUGCGGAGGAACACCGAUGGCGAAGGCAGCCUCCUGGGAUAACACUGACGCUCAUGCACGAAAGCGUGGGGAGCAAACAGGAUUAGAUACCCUGGUAGUCCACGCCCUAAACGAUGUCAACUAGCUGUUGGGGGCCUUCGGGCCUUGGUAGCGCAGCUAACGCGUGAAGUUGACCGCCUGGGGAGUACGGUCGCAAGAUUAAAAGCUCAAAGGAA